AUGAACGCUAGCUACAGGCUUAACACAUGCAAGUCGAGGGGCAGCAUGAAUCAAGCUUGCUUGAUUGAUGGCGACCGGCGCACGGGUGCGUAACACGUAUCCAAUCUACCCAUGGCUCAGGGAUAGCCUUUCGAAAGAAAGAUUAAUACCUGAUGGUUUCAUGAGCCCGCAUGGACUUAUGAAUAAAGAUUUAUCGGCGAUGGAUGAGGAUGCGUCCGAUUAGAUAGUAGGCGGGGUAACGGCCCACCUAGUCGACGAUCGGUAGGGGCUCUGAGAGGAGGAUCCCCCACAUUGGAACUGAGACACGGUCCAAACUCCUACGGGAGGCAGCAGUGAGGAAUAUUGGUCAAUGGGCGAGAGCCUGAACCAGCCAAGUAGCGUGAGGGAAUGACUGCCCUAUGGGUUGUAAACCUCUUUUGUUUGGGAAUAAAGUGAGCCACGUGUGGCUUUUUGUAUGUACCUUACGAAUAAGCAUCGGCUAAUUCCGUGCCAGCAGCUGC
rnacentral:rRNA from 1 species